rnacentral:lncRNA from 1 species
GGUUUGUUUUUUAUUCCUGCACUGCUGUACUGGUGCAAUAAAUGCGCGAGUGUUUACGGACAUAUUUAAAGCCGAACAAAUUUUUAAACGUACUUUUUGGUAAUUAGUAAUGGCAUAAAUUACUCCGGAGUUUGCAUCGCUGUGUGUUUGCUCACUCUACCAAGGGGAACAUAACCUCCAAAUGACAGUUUGCUCAAUGUGCUGGACUAUAUAAACAAUUUAUUUCCCAUGGAGCAGUCACUGUCAAACAUCGAGGUGGUGAAUAAUCUAGAAAAUGACACACUAUUGAUAGGGAGAUACUGGCAGUUAUGCGUGAUCAGACAAACGUGGGUCAGGAUGAUAGGACAGUUUUGGAAGAUGCAUACAAGAUAAGGCAAUUGUUUGUUGUUCCAUAUAAAAGACAUACAGAAUAAGGUGGAGCAGUCCGAGUGAUAAGAGGCCAAAAUCCAUAAACCCAGAGAGGAUAAUGUUGGCAACGCUUCAUGAAUUAUGGGUUAGAAAAGCAAAAGUAGUACCCAGUACUCUGAAGAUUAUCUACUCCUUCCAGCUGAAAUGGCAAUAACAGAUCAGAAGAUGGAGAUGCAAAGAUAGACGAGACAGAAGAAGUAGGAUCAGGAAAUGAAGAACCAGUGGAACCAGAAGAGGAACCUGAAGAAGUGGUUUCGGACCAGGAGUAGCAAAUAGCCCAUACAAUCCGUAGACACCUUCAGAAAUGGAUGUUGGUUCUGGUAUCAUAGGUAGCUUAGAUUGACAUACGACAAAUAUUGAAGUAUGUAUUCUCAUGACAAGCAACGUGAAACAUGAUGACAAUAAGCAGUCAACCCAGGAAUUUCAGUUGGUAUGUGUACUGUUUAUCUACCUAUCGAAGUUUGAACUAUAAGCCUAAUAUGUGAUCAACUGGAGCUUGUGAUACUGUGACGAUGGAAUUAAAGUGAUUCUAAGUGAAGACCGUGAAGCUGUCGGCACCUUACUUUCGAUCAUUUGCAUAUGCUGGAAGGAGUAGAUAAUCUAAAGUACACAUAUUAAAAUUAUAAAAUCUACUGUGGAUUUCUUUGGUUUCAGAGUAUUAACACAAAGAUAACAAUGGAGAAAUUAUUUUACCAUUGCAAGGAGUGAUGCAGAUGAUGCAACAUUUUAACAGCUACUUGGACAUAUCACAAGUGAGGCAAUUAUCUGAUCAAGUUUGUCAGAUUCAGGAUGAGUUGACUCAGCAGAUUGCAGAGGAUUUCAAAUAGGCCUUUUCGGGUCAAAAUCUAAAGCACUUUAAUCAGUUAAUGGAAGGAUGUUUAGUAUUAUCAGAAUUGCAUCCUAAAGUAAAAUCUGCUUAUUUGGUUUGUGAAUAUCCAAUUACAAGAAUACGCACAUUUAUUUGACGAGAAUCAGAAUUUUGCCUAGUUGGAUAAAUCGAAGAUAUACAUGGAUUUUAAAGAACAUCUGCUCGAUUUUAAGACAAAGUUUGGUGCAAUCUUUCCCCAAGGUUAGGAGAUUUCUGAGCGAAUAGCUAUACAAUUCUGCCAUAUCACGUGUGAAGAUCUUAUUAAGUUAACGAACAAGAGACGCAAUGAGAUACACAUUAAAUUAUUGUUCUACUUCUAUUUCAACUACGUUUGUAUUUAUAUAAAAAUUUAUUACAUAUACUGUAUUGUAUUAUAAUUAUUAUAUAAUUGAUGUAAAAAUAAAUAUUAAUUAUUAUA